rnacentral:rRNA from 1 species
UACAGAGGUCUCAAGCGUUGUUCGGAUUCAUUGGGCGUAAAGGGUGCGUAGGCGGCGCGGUAAGUCGGGUGUGAAAUCUCGGAGCUUAACUCCGAAACUGCAUUCGAUACUGCCGUGCUUGAGGACUGGAGAGGAGACUGGAAUUUACGGUGUAGCGGUGAAAUGCGUAGAUAUCGUAAGGAAGACCAGUGGCGAAGGCGGGGUCUCUAGACAGUUCCUGACGCUGAGGCACGAAGGUCAGGGGGAGCAAACGGGG